rnacentral:rRNA from 1 species
CGGUAAUUCCAGCUCCAAUAGCGUAUAUUAAAGUUGUUGCAGUUAAAAAGCUCGUAGUUGGAUUUUUGAUCGGAGAGGUCGGUCCGCUCUGCAAAGAGUGUGUACUAGCGCCUCCUCCGGUUUUUCUUAUGGAGAGGCAUUCUGGCAUUAGGUUGUUGGGGUGUGGAUCCAUAUCGUUUACUGUGAAAAAAUUAGAGUGUUUAAAGCAGGCUUAGGCCGUUGAAUACAUUAGCAUGGAAUAAUAAGAUAGGACUUUGGCUCUAUUUUGUUGGUUUGCGUGCCAAGGUAAUGAUUAAUAGGGAUAGUUGGGGGUAUUCAUAUUUAAUUGUCAGAGGUGAAAUUCUUGGAUUUAUGAAAGAUGAACUUCUGCGAAAGCAUUUACCAAGGAUGUUUUCAUCAAUCAAGAACGAAAGUUAGGGGAUCGAAGAUGAUUAGAUACCAUCGUAGUCUUAACCAUAAACUAUGCCGACUAGGGAUUGGCGGUCGUUCUCAAUGACUCCGUCAGCACCUUAUGAGAAAUCAAAGUCUUUGGGUUCCGGGGGGAGUAUGGUCGCAAGGCUGAAACUUAAAGGAAUUGACGGAAGGGCACCACCAGGAGUGGAGCCUGCGGCUUAAUUUGACUCAACACGGGGAAACUUACCAGGUCCAGACAUAGUAAGGAUUGACAGAUUGAGAGCUCUUUCUUGAUUCUAUGGGUGGUGGUGCAUGGCCGUUCUUAGUUGGUGGAGUGAUUUGUCUGGUUAAUUCCGAUAACGAACGAGACCGCCGCCUGCUAAAUAGUUACGCGAAUGGCUCUGCCAUUGGUGGACAACUUCUUAGAGGGACUUUCAGUGACUAACUGAAGGAAGUUGGCGGCAAUAACAGGUCUGUGAUGCCCUUAGAUGUUCUGGGCGGCACGCGCGCUACACUGAUACCAUCAACGAGUCUAUAACCUUGAUCUAGCGGUCUGGGUAAUCUUUUGAAACGGUAUCGUGAUAGGGAUAGAUUAUUGCAAUUUUUAAUCUUCAACGAGGAAUUCCUAGUAAACGCGAGUCAUCAGCUCGCAUUGAUUACGUCCCUGCCCUUUGUACACACCGCCCGUCGCACCGACCGAUUGAAUGAUUCGGUGAAAACCUGGGAUUGUGGCUCUGUGCCUUUAUUGGGACAUUGCCGUGAGAACUCGUUUAAACCUCAUCAUUUAGAGGAUGGUAAAGUCGUAACAAGGUAGCCG